rnacentral:rRNA from 1 species
UACAGAGGGUGCGAGCGUUAAUCGGAAUUACUGGGCGUAAAGCGUGCGUAGACGGUAGCGUAAGUCAGAUGUGAAAGCCCCGGGCUCAACCUGGGAAUGGCAUUUGAGACUGCUCUGCUCGGGUGCGGAAGAGGGAAGCGGAAUUUCCGGUGUAGCGGUGAAAUGCGUAGAUAUCGGAAGGAACACCAGUAGCGAAGGCGGCAC